UCCUUCUCAACUCCCCUUUGUGAAACCAUAUACAGGACAAUAUGACGGGGAGGACAUUACUCACUGGCAGUAGCUCUGGUGACU